rnacentral:lncRNA from 1 species
AGGUCGUUUUUGAAGAUCUAGACCCAAGUGUUCUUAUUGUUAUAAACUUGGUCACACUCGUGGCCAUUCUUUACAUGGUCGACCAACAAAAAAUGCUUAUGUUGCUCAGACCGAGCCUUAAAUAUCGAGCAAGUAAGUAGACGUCUCCACAAGUAGCCACUGUUGCUCAGCCUGAUACUUCUGUUGCUGGUAAUUCUUUUGCUUGUGUUUCCCAGUCUAGUCCUCUUGAACAAAUCGAGCAAGUAAGCAGACAUCUCCACAAGUAGCCUAUGUUGCUCAGACUGAUACUUCUUGCUGGUAAUUCUUUUGCUUGUGUUUACCAGUCUAGUCCUCUUGAACAAUGGUUUGUGGACUCAGCUACUUCUGAUCAUAUCUCUGGUAAUCAAUCCCUUUUGUCAAAUAUUGCGUAUUCACAGUUUCUUCCCAACAUUACUUUAGCUAAUGGGUCUCAAACUAAAGCAAACGGAGUUGGACAGGCAAAUCCUCUACCCUCUGUCACUCUAGAUUCCGUUCUUUAUGUUCCUGGCUGUCUUUUUAAUCUUGCAUCUGUGAGUCGUUUGACUCGUGCCCUCCAUUGCGGAAUAUAUUUUAUUGAUGACUCUUUUAUUAUGCAGGACCGCAGUACGGGANNNN